rnacentral:tRNA from 1 species
GCCCCUGUAGUGUAGUUCGGUUAAUCACACAGCCCUCUCAAGGCUGCGACCCGGGUUCAAAUCCCGGCAGGGGCA